GAUAACCUACCUAUAAGACUGGGAUAACUUCGGGAAACCGGAGCUAAUACCGGAUAAUAUAUUGAACCGCAUGGUUCAAUAGUGAAAGACGGUUUUGCUGUCACUUAUAGAUGGAUCCGCGCCGCAUUAGCUAGUUGGUAAGGUAACGGCUUACCAAGGCAACGAUGCGUAGCCGACCUGAGAGGGUGAUCGGCCACACUGGAACUGAGACACGGUCCAG
rnacentral:rRNA from 1 species